AGCGAACGCUGGCGGCAGGCUUAACACAUGCAAGUCGAGCGGGCAUCUUCGGAUGUCAGCGGCAGACGGGUGAGUAACACGUGGGAACGUACCCUUCGGUUCGGAACAACUCUGGGAAACUGGAGCUAAUACCGGAUACGCCCUUAUGGGGAAAGGUUUACUGCCGAAGGAUCGGCCCGCGUCUGAUUAGCUAGUUGGUGGGGUAACGGCCUACCAAGGCGACGAUCAGUAGCUGGUCUGAGAGGAUGAUCAGCCACACUGGGACUGAGACACGGCCCAGACUCCUACGGGAGGCAGCAGUGGGGAAUAUUGGACAAUGGGCGCAAGCCUGAUCCAGCCAUGACGCGUGAGUGAUGAAGGCCUUAGGGUUGUAAAGCUCUUUUGUCCGGGACGAUAAUGACGGUACCGGAAGAAUAAGCCCCGGCUAACUUCGUG
rnacentral:rRNA from 1 species